UACGAAGGGGGCUAGCGUUGUUCGGAAUUACUGGGCGUAAAGCGCGCGUAGGCGGCUUUGUAAGUCGGUUGUGAAAUCCCCGGGCUUAACCUGGGAACUGCAUCCGAGACUGCAUAGCUAGAGUAUGGGAGAGGGAAGUGGAAUUUCAGGUGUAGCGGUGAAAUGCGUAGAUAUCUGAAGGAACAUCAGUGGCGAAGGCAGCCCCCUGGGUCAAUACUGACGCUCAUGCACGAAAGCGUGGGGAGCAAACAGG
rnacentral:rRNA from 1 species